rnacentral:rRNA from 1 species
UACAGAGGGUGCGAGCGUUGUCCGGAAUCACUGGGCGUAAAGGGCGCGUAGGUGGCCCGACAAGUCACUGGUGAAAGCUCGAUGCUCAACAUCGAGUCGGCCAGUGAUACUGUUGGGCUGGAGCACUGUAGAGGCUAAUGGAAUUCCGGGUGUAGCGGUGGAAUGCGUAGAGAUCCGGAAGAACACCUGCGGCGAAGGCGGGUUGCUGGGCCGACACUGACGCUGAGGCGCGAAAGCUAGGGGAGCGAACGGG